AAAUUCUAAAGACACA
rnacentral:tRNA from 1 species